CGUCAGAUUUUACUCUGCCUAGAAACAAAGGUUAUACAUGGACCAGGAGCCGUGCUGGAGCGGCACUCGUCGACGAUGGACGGCUGGACAUAUGAGUACUUCGUUGCCAUACUGUGGCGGCCGUGGCUGUGACUCUGCUCAUGAUGAUGCUUUAUUAUUGCAGAAGAUUUUACUUCAAACAUGCGGAGUCCAGGGACAUGAUGGACUGCAGACCAGACGCACUGGACUAACAAGCACUGUGUUUAUUCCCCACAGAUCCGAACCCUCAGGAUCAGAUGAGACAAGGAGCUGCUGAUGCAGAUGGAGAAAAUCUUAUGACUUAGUUUGAGCCCCGGUUUGCUCUUUACAAGAACAAACCGUUUGCUCACGAAGUCCCAGGACAGAAGAGUUUGUGGGGCCGCAGUUUUCGGCUUCCUUUUUUGUUACUCCGUUGUUCACGUGUCACGGAAUUCUCAUGAUUUGGAGGACAACUGUUCAAAUGUGGUAAAAGCUGCGUGUGACUUUGUUUCUGUUUAUUGAUACUGUUGGUAUGAAUUUUAUGGCUGUUUGUUGCAUUCAGCACAGUAUGUGUUGUAAGCACAUUACUGUGGUACAACUGGACUUUACUGUAUUACGCAGCACACUGGAGCUGGUUACGCUUCAGUCACAUACUGGACGUGUUUUUACUAUCUUUGUGUGUUGAGGUCAUAGUUAUAGAAUGUCUGUUACAUAAACUCAAGAAUGGGGUGAACUUGAUCACCUUACACAUUAUAUACAUUUCAACUGAGUUCAUAUAAAUAAAUGCAAUCAAAGUUUAUUCUUGCGUAUUUCU
rnacentral:lncRNA from 1 species